UGGCUCUCGCAUCGAUGAAGAACGCAGCGAAAUGCGAUACGUAAUGUGAAUUGCAGAAUUCAGUGAAUCAUCGAAUCUUUGAACGCACCUUGCGCCCCUUGGCAUUCCGAGGGGCACACCCGUUUGAGUGUCGUGAAAUCUUCAAAAACCCUCUCUUUUGAGGAUUUUUGGACUUGGAGGUUCAAUGCUCGCUUUCGCCUUUUAGAAAGCGAGCUCCUCUCAAAUGAAUCAGUGGGGUCUGCUUUGCCGGUCCUUGACGUGAUAAGAUCUUUCUACGUUUUGGAUUCGACAUCGUCCCGCUCCCAAUCGUCCCACGGACAAAAGGAUGGUGCUCCGGUCGCGGUCGGACCCACCAAAAAAACCUUGACCUCAAAUCGGGUGAGACUACCCGCUGA
rnacentral:misc_RNA from 1 species